rnacentral:rRNA from 1 species
CCUACGGGGGGCUGCAGUAAGGAAUAUUGGUCAAUGGAGGAAACUCUGAACCAGCCAUCCCGCGUGAAGGAUGAAGGGGCUCUGCCUUGUAAACUUCUUUUGUCUGGGGCGAAAAAGCUCGAUUUAUCGAGAACUGACGGUACCAGAAGAAUACGCACCGGCUAACUCCGUGCCAGCAGCCGCGGUAAUACGGAGGUUGCAAGCGUUAUCCGGAUUCACGGGGUUGUAGGGGUCCGUAGAAGGCAGAGGUGAAAGGCUGUGGCUUAACCAUGGAAUUGCCAUUGAUACUGCAGAGCUUGAAUGAGGUUGAGGGUGGCGGAAUGUGAAAUGUAGCGGUGAAAUGCUUAGAUAUGUCAUGGAACACCGAUGGCGAAGGCAGCUGACUGGACCUAUAUUGACGCUGAGGCACGAAAGCGUGGGGAGCGAACAGGAUUAGAUACCCCAGUAGUC